rnacentral:rRNA from 1 species
UACACUCCUGCGGGAGGCAGCAGUGGGGAAUAUUGGACAAUGGGCGCAAGCCUGAUCCAGCCAUGCCGCGUGAGUGAUGAAGGCCCUAGGGUUGUAAAGCUCUUUCACCGGUGAAGAUAAUGACGGUAACCGGAGAAGAAGCCCCGGCUAACUUCGUGCCAGCAGCCGCGGUAAUACGAAGGGGGCUAGCGUUGUUCGGAUUUACUGGGCGUAAAGCGCACGUAGGCGGACUAUUAAGUCAGGGGUGAAAUCCCGGGGCUCAACCCCGGAACUGCCUUUGAUACUGGUAGUCUUGAGUUCGAGAGAGGUGAGUGGAAUUCCGAGUGUAGAGGUGAAAUUCGUAGAUAUUCGGAGGAACACCAGUGGCGAAGGCGGCUCACUGGCUCGAUACUGACGCUGAGGUGCGAAAGCGUGGGGAGCAAACAGGAUUAGAAACCCUUGUAGUCC